ACAUGAUUGAAAAACAUUCGUCUUGAAUUUUAAUCAGAGCAGGAAUAUAAAUAUUUUUAUGUGCAACUGCACUAGGAGGUACAUGUUUUAUGUUACAAGGUAAAGUUAAAUGGUUUAACGCUGAAAAAGGUUUCGGUUUCAUCGAAGUUGAAGGUCAAGACGAUGUUUUUGUUCACUUCUCCGCAAUCCAAGGUGAAGGAUACAAAUCAUUAGAAGAAGGUCAAGACGUUACAUUUGAAAUCGUUGAAGGCGCUCGUGGACCACAAGCGGCAAACGUUCAAAAGUAAUCCAAAUGUAUAAUUUCAAGCAGGGUACGUCAGCUGACGUACCCUGCUUU
rnacentral:other from 1 species